rnacentral:rRNA from 1 species
GAUGAACGCUGGCGGCGUGCUUAACACAUGCAAGUCGAACGGAAAGGCUCCUGCUUGCAGGGGUACUCGAGUGGCGAACGGGUGAGUAACACGUGGGUGAUCUGCCCUGCACUUCGGGAUAAGCCUGGGAAACUGGGUCUAAUACCGGAUAGGACGAUGGUUUGGAUGCCAUUGUGGAAAGUUUUUCGGUGUGGGAUGAGCUCGCGGCCUAUCAGCUUGUUGGUGGGGUAAUGGCCUACCAAGGCGUCGACGGGUAGCCGGCCUGAGAUGGUGUACGGCCACAUUGGGACUGAGAUACGGCCCAGACUACUCCGGGAGGCAGCAGUGGGGAAUAUUGCACAAUGGGCGGAAGCCUGAUGCAGCGACGCCGCGUGGGGGAUGACGGCCUUCGGGUUGUAAACUCCUUUCGCUAGGGACGAAGCGCAAGUGACGGUACCUGGAGAAGAAGCACCGGCUAACUACGUG